rnacentral:rRNA from 1 species
GACAGAGGUGCCAAGCGUUAGGCGGAAUCACUGGGCUUAAAGCGUGUGUAGGCGGAUGUCUAAGUACCUUGUGAAAUCCCACGGCUCAACCGUGGAACUGCUUGGUAUACUGGAUGUCUUGAGCCAUCUAGGGGCUACCGGAACAAAUGGUGGAGCGGUGAAAUGCGUAGAUAUCGCUUGGAACGCCGAAGGUGAAAACAGGCUGCUGGGGUUGUGCCGGACGCUGGAGACACGAAAGCCAGGGGAGCAAACGGG